rnacentral:rRNA from 1 species
GUGGGGAAUCUUAGACAAUGGGGGAAACCCUGAUCUAGCCAUGCCGCGUGAUCGAUGAAGGCCUUAGGGUUGUAAAGAUCUUUCAGGUGGGAAGAUAAUGACUGUACCACCAGAAGAAGCCCCGGCUAACUCCGUGCCAGCAGCCGCGGUAAUACGGAGGGGGCUAGCGUUGUUCGGAAUUACUGGGCGUAAAGCGCACGUAGGCGGAUUGGAAAGUUGGGGGUGAAAUACCGUGGCUCAACCCCGGAACUGCCUUCAAAACUCCCAGUCUUGAGUUCGAGAGAGGUGAGUGGAAUUCCGAGUGUAGAGGUGAAAUUCGUAGAUAUUCGUGGGAACACCAGUGGCGAAGGCGGCUCACUGGCUCGAUACUGACGCUGAGGUGCGAAAGCGUGGGGAGCAAACAGGAUUAGAAACCCCUGUAGUCC